AUUGAACGCUGGCGGCAUGCUUUACACAUGCAAGUCGAACGGCAGCACGGGUGCUUGCACCUGGUGGCGAGUGGCGGACGGGUGAGUAAUGCAUCGGAACGUGUCCUGAAGUGGGGGAUAACGCAUCGAAAGAUGUGCUAAUACCGCAUAUUCUCUGAGGAGGAAAGUAGGGGAUCGAAAGACCUUAUGCUUUUGGAGCGGCCGAUGUCUGAUUAGCUAGUUGGUAGGGUAAUGGCUUACCAAGGCGACGAUCAGUAGUUGGUCUGAGAGGACGGCCAGCCACACUGGGACUGAGACACGGCCCAGACUCCUACGGGAGGCAGCAGUGGGGAAUUUUGGGCAAUGGACGAAAGUCUGACCCAGCCACGCCGCGUGAAGGAUGACUGCCCUAUGGGUUGUAAACUUCUUUUGUAUGGGAAGAAAAUUCCGAACGUGUUCGGAGCUGACGGUACCAUAAGAAUAAGCAUCGGCUAACUCCGUGCCAGCA
rnacentral:rRNA from 1 species